CUUUCCUUCCAGCACUAUUAUCCCCCCUGCAUUGAAUGGCAGUUCGACAGUACCUCUCAUCUGGGGAAUGCCAAUUUUAUUCCAGGCUCUUGCUGCUUGGCCAGUUGACUGCUUCCUUUUGCACUGAAUCUGAAUUAUGUGUCCCACUGGAAUUGUUGUAAUAGACUGCACAAACCAAGUGCAAGGACAAGAGGCUCCUGAUGGAAAGUACAGAACCAGAGGAACAUCUUCAUGACUCUUGUGUAAAUCAAGCACCCGAUUUUUUACAGGUACAGAAGCACACUGUACAAGGGACUUUCACCCCUCGCAAAGUCUGCUGUCAACUCGAGAUGGCCUUUAGUUGCAAGUCUAUUUCCUAAACAAAGUAGGGAUGCCUCCCAAAUUGCGGUAGCUUUGAGAUUUAUCCUCACCACGUUCACCUCCAAAAACCCUCUUUUCCAGCCAAGUCACCACUGCAAAACAACCAUAUCAAAAGGAAAAGCACCUAAACAAACACAAGUGCCGUAGAGUUUCCUGAAGAAGCUCUUUUGAGAUAGAGCUCCUACCAUGAAAAAAGCCUUUCACAACUUUCAUAUUAAAAUGAACAAGCCUCUUCUCAAAAUUAGCCUCUAACCCUUGGAGGAGCCAUCCUGAGCUGAGACAGGAGUGCUACACCUGCUGCAGCCAUUUACAUACAUCUCUCUCUCACACUGCUCUUUAAGCUGCUGCUGUUGACCUUGCCAGGGAGGACCAUGGUGUACUCAACAGAAAGGAGUAUCUCCACCACUUAAUCAUAAGAGCUUGUGAAGAAAAAUCUCUUUUUGAGCAUUUUGAACCUGCUAUUCCCUAGGUCUCUUGCUACAUGAGGCAGGACACAGUUGUUUCCUGUUCACCUUCUCCACGUCAUGAACAAUCAAAGACUGAACUGAGUGAAACUCCACUUAGCAAAUACAUAGGAUCUUCUGAUGAAAUACAAUCAUAAUAUUGAAAAAAAUAGGAGGUAGCAUGUUCAGACUGUGAGAGGUUUUGGCAGAUGUUCUGUUACUAAUGACACUAUAUUCAAAGUACACUAUAAGUAAGGAUUGAUAUAGCCAUUAUUCUGCAAAGCCUGCUGCAAUGUUAGCAUUUGCAAUAUAUAUUGGUUUUGAUGUCACCAUUUGUAGCACAUACUGUGAGGACACAGUAUGAGGAAUUAAGUAAUUGGUUGGAAAACACAGAGGUGGAGAACAAGAGGAUUCCAGAAGGACACACAUCUCCCCUUCCUCAAAUAUUACAUCACUCACCAUUCCUUCAAUACCAUUCUGGAGGAUACCAUGUACCUCAGGAGAAGACCUGAGCCUCAGCUUUCUAGGGCAACACAUUGAGGCAUUGUAUGUGGUAGAACAGUUUCUUGUUGGCCAUCAGUUCUGAUUCCUGUCUUAUGCCCCAUUAGAGUCCAGAUCUCCAAAGAUAAGGUACUUCAGAUGUGGACGAUCGGCCAGUGAAAUUUCCAAGGAGCAUCCAAGGCCUGAUCUGGUCUGACUUCCCGUGCUUUAGGAAGAGCUUGCAGUGCAAUAUAUCAGAGAACUGGAGACAGCAUUUGCUCUGGAAGCUAGCAGGAGCAGGUGCACAUUUGGACUGCUGGAUGUCUCUCCUAAAUAAAUAAAUAAAUAAGCAGUCAUGAAAUCCUUGCUAUAGCCCUGUGCUGUAAGCAGAAGGGAGAUAAUUUUCUUUCUCAGAUAGAAAAACUAUAGAUCUUUGAAUGAGAGGGAGCAUACCAGAACUUGUCUUAUUAAUGAAGAGAAUGAUGCUGUAGCUGGAAGCUGGAAAGUAUUAUGGCACUUGCAUAGGAGAGAAAAAGUUCCUGUUCCCAGCUUCUGUUUCAAGGCCAGGGCCUCAGCAGUGUGUGUUAACUCAGGAGUUAUUUGUUGGCUGUCAUUACAGCUUUCUACCCUCUGGCCAGCUGUUUUGUGUUGCAUGUUGACAGUGUUCAGUGCAGGCUAUGGACCUGCAGGUGACUCCAUGCAGCUCUGCCCUCAUGUGCAUGUACUCCUGUGUGGCUCCUAGGUCACACAUUGCACAGUAGGGACAGCACCUGUGCUUUUUUUAUGUGCUACAGUUUUGAGAUAAUUGAUGAAUGCAUGUUAAAAGUAUUAUAAAACAAUUACUUACAGCAUUAGUUUUCUUGCCACACCAUCAUAUUGAGGAAGUCAGGCACAGCUUUUGCUCCACUUCUCUAUGAAAGCCUAUCAUAAAUUAUUUUCCUUCAGCAUCAAAAGUACAGAAAAUGCAGGAUAUGGUUAACCUAGAAAAACACAAGUAGGUGACUCAGCACAAGAUGGCAGUCAUACUGUGGGAUACCUGUGUGCCCCAAUGACAUGCAUCUUUCUGGCACUCUGUAUGUAAAAUUAAUUCACAAAUGAUAUUUUGGGAUUUCCUACAUGUACUAAAUCAUAAUAAAAGUCACCUGUUAAUGGCAAAGCCUCUCAGCCCAGCUGACUGCAGAUUCCUCCCCAGCCAUUGGUUAGAGCUGUCAGAGACAGCCAAAAUCCACUUGAGAUGGAAAAGGUGUGAGCUGUAAAUACAGGGAAAUCCUGGAUCACCACAGGGUGUUCAGCUACCACACUUUGACCUCCCUUGGUCCCUUCUAUGUUUUGUUAAGAUUGUAUUUCUUCAUGCACUGUCUGGUUUAAAAGCCACCGUAAAUCUAUGGCGUGCAGCAAGAGUAACAGAGAAGGCACUAUGUAAUACAAGGGGCUAUAAUUCCAUCCAAGGCAUUCAGGAGCAGUCGUAAAUCAGCAUGGUGGAGCUUCGGCUGGGAGAAGUAGGACCGGAGGCUGAGGUGAGAGCAGUCUCCAUCUUCCUCCAUCCUCCAUCCACCCUCGGCCCUGCUGCAGUGACAGCCCUGUUACUGGAGCGUGCCCACCUACUGCAGCCUGCCUUCCUGCUGCAAAGCUUGGGGCUCAUCACGAAGAAGAUAAAAUAGAAUCACAGCUAACUGGAUUUUAGGGAAGGGGGUGAAUUAGAGGUGUCAUGCUGGAGGCAGGGGAAGAAGGAUGGGUGUGUUUGAGGGAUGCGGAUGGGUAGAUGCCUGGAAGAGUCGUAGGCAUAAGAGGCGGCCAUGUAAUUUCCAACAAAAGCCUAAAAGGGAUUAGAGGACAUUCCUUAUCACUCAUAGUUCCCUUCUAUUUUUCUUACCAGUGGUGUUUUCCAUCAAGUACUAUGAGGCUGUGCUCAGCGUUGUGAAGCUUGGACAAGGCCCACCCAGAACCAAGCAAUAUCAGGAUGGCCACUGCUUAGGAUUGUCACCAGCAGCUCAAUGGUUUUUGCUGGAGAGCAAUUUGCUUCUGGGUCUGCCCACUUCCAGUAGUAUUUAGGGACAGGGAUCAAACUGUAAACUCAGCUCCCUGUGCUGCUUCUCCCACAUCAGUAACAGCACAGCACUGCCAGCCUUCUCCUCCCUUCUGAGGGUCCUCUCCCUCUGCUGAUCCCUCACAAAUUCACUACAAUCGGAGGAGAGACCUCAUGAGGCGAGUGAAGUUAGAUUGCAUAGGGAUUGCAGUAACGACCACCACAUUCGGAGUGUUUUUAUUAUUUUUUUUGUGACAGAAAGCACAGUGUGCAGCUAAGCAGGACCAAAGAACGUUUUAAAUAUUGGGAAAAUGUGCACCUCGUCCCAUUGCUUACUUUGGUGGAAAGAGGCUGCUGAAUGAGGCCUGCUGCUGCUUGACGCCGGAGCGCUGUGCUCAGUGUGCAACAGCAGGCCGAAACCAGCUCCUGCCCUGUUCCCUUCAUGUGCUCCAACAUGCUUACCUCCACUUGGCAUCACCCGCACAAACUAACCACCAUGUGUUUUGGCUCGCGGACAGUCAAACCACUUCUUUUCUUCCAGCUGCACAUAUUUGGCAGAGUUCAAGGAGCUGAACACAGGAACACACGAUUUCCAGUUGAGGGUACUUUCUGUAGCUGUUUUAGCUUCACAUUAGAAACAACUGUUCCUUAUUUUGCGUUCACUUACUCAAAGUAACACACACAGCUCAAUCAUUAGAAACUUGGACUAGCUUGAGUGACAGACACAGCGCCAUACACUGGGUAACACAUUCUCCUUUGCUUUAAUAUGGAAAAUCUUCUUUCAAGCAUGGAACACUUCUGAAGGAUAUUCUCUUUCUGCACAAAUUUUAAUGAAACUUGGGAAUGAUCACUUUUCUUAUUUCCUUUUCUGUCACUUGGUACAGCAUACUGAAUAUCUAAGGCUUAAUGAAUUUUAAAGUUCUCAUUUUGCUACAACGGAAGGCCUGAAAAUUUCUUAAGUUUUGGGAAAGCUAAUGAAAUGCAAAGGGGAAUGAAGUGGAAACUAAUUUGUCCAUUCGAACUUCAAAAUGUCAGUGAGAUUUUCUGAAGAAACAAAAGUUAAAUCACUAAACUCUGGGCCAUCAAUCACUGUAUUUUACUUGUGGUAAAAUGGUAAAAAAAAAAAAGAAAAUAUAACCAAAGGUUUUGGACAUGUUGAAACUUCAGGAGAGAAAGAAAUUAUUAGUCUAUGUCUCGCAUAUCUAGCCACAGUGGAGGUCACUGUGAUGCAACAGCAAGCCAAGGCUAAAUAAGAAUAGGACCUAUGGGAUUCCAAACUGAUUUUCAAGUAGUGGUUGCUGGAACCCCAUUGGUCAAGCUCAUAGGGCAGCUUUUUAGCAGAUGUAGAAGGUACCAAGUUCAGGUUAAAUCCAGAGAGAUAAGCGUGUAAUGGCCACUUGGGAGUCACCUGCUCAGAAGAGGCUGUGACGGCUGAGAUGGGCCUGGAGCUUCCAGGCCAUGGGGCGCAGCAAGCCAGGGUUUGCUCUCCACAGUCUCACAAGAAGUGAAAUGUUUUCAUCAGCAAAAUUGAGAUGGUUGAAAAACCUGUCCAGGUGUGUGACAGAAAAAAGAUUAAGCUGCCAGUUUUCACAAAAGCUACCAGAGCUGUUCCAACAGUAAUGCCUCCCCUUCUAUUAUGUUGGACCAUGAAAUCAGUGGUGGAUGUUGGUGGUUUGGCAGUAGAGGUUGAACCUUCCUGCCAGUAUUCCAUUACAUUUUGUUACCAUGUGACAGAUGACAGCAGAGGAGUAGUCAGCCCUAAUGGCAUCUGACAUGGAAGUACAUCUGAAGCAAAGGUGUGUCAUUGUAUUCCUCCAUGUAGAAAAAUGGCACCCAUUGACAUUCACUGACACUUGGUGAAUGUUUCUGGAGACCAAACGGUGAGUAUGAGCACAUUGAGGCGGUGGGUGGUGCAUUUCAGCAGUGGUGACAGUGACAUGAAAGAAAGGCACAUUCUGGAUGGCCAUGCAUAUCUGUCACACCACGAAAUGAAGAGCGUUUCCAUCAGCUCAUCCAGGUCCAUUGGCAGAUUAUGAUCAGGGAACUGUGUAUCGAGCUGAAUAUCAACUUUAAUGUGUAGGAAACAAUGGUGGCAAUGUUGGAACACUGCAAAGUUUGAGCCAGGUGAGUCCCACAAAUACUCAGACAGGAACAGAAAUAACACCGUAUGCAAGUUUUUCAGGACCCAUUGAACCAACACACCGUCAAAGGUGACAGUUGCCUGGAUUGCAUCCUCACUGGUGACAGGACAUAGUGCUAACAGUAGUCAAAACAGCAUUCUACGGAUUGGUGACAUGCAAAUCCCCCAUCAAAGAAAAAGGUCAAGAUGCAGCCCUCAGCAGGCAAAGUGAUGUACACUAUCUGGGAUAGGAAACGGGUGAUCCUUCUGGAUUUCCUGGAACACGGACACACCAUCAACACUGCCUCCUACACUGUGACGCUGACUAAGCUGAAGGCCUGAAUUUCCAAAGUCAGGCCAGAGAAAACGAUCUUUAUCUUGCAACACUGUUAAGACUAUAACCCCAGUUGGAAGACUGUGCAGCACACUGCCAGUCGUGCCUAGGCUGUCCUACCAUGCUCACAGCACAGUCCAGAUCUGGUACCUUCUGAAUUCCAUCUGUUUGCUCUGAUGAAAGAUGGAUUGCAUGGGCAACAUUUUCCUAGCUACAACACCUUCACAGCAGCUGUGAAACAGUGGGUCACCUCCACUGGUGGAGAUUUUUAUGAACACAACAUGAAGGCUCUUGUUCAUCGCUGAUGAAAAUGCAUAGCUAAUGGUUAUGACUAUAUUGAAAGAUAGUGUUUUGUAGCUGAGAAUUUGCUCUUAUCAAACAGUUCUAUUGUUCUAUCCAUGGAAAUAAAUAGGAGGCCUUACUUUUGGAAUGAUCUAUAAAUACCUGUAUAAAUCUAUAAAUAAAUCUGUAAAUACCAACUGCCUUCCAUGAGAUCAGAAAUUACUUUAUUUUCACUUUAGAUGUUUACAAUGAGAAUAUAUGAAAGGUGCUUUUAUUUGUGUCACUUUUAAGUGCAUCAAGUAUUUCUCUCUUCCAAGUGUUAAUUAAAAACACGCACUAAUAUGCAAACUGCUGCACACUUUCAGUUGAUUGAGAGACCUUUUUAACAGGCUAAUGCCUUUGUAUGCAUUGGGAAAACUCACUUGGGCUCCCCAAGGAUGGAACUAUGAUUGCUUACGUUUGAAUAUGCAAGUUGGACAGGGAAAAUCUCUAGUAAGAGCUUCAGGCCCUGGCUGGAACACAAAAAUAAGCCACAUCAGGCAACGUGGUUACAACUUGGUUGUCUCUUAACCUGGUGACUCAUCUGGUUUUGAUUUGUGCCGGAGACAGUGCUUGAGCAGUGUUCCACAACCAGACAAAAGCCUUCCUAUGAUCAAAUACUGAGUACAACUGGCAAUCAUAACUGUUAAACAAAAGUGCCAAAGUAACUUAGGAACACAGAUCUGGUUGACAAUCAGAGGGACAUUUGGCCUAGUUUAUUUGAUGCCUUUGUCUUGCCUUUUUAGCAGUGCUAGCACUGAUUUUUCAUCUAUGAUCUGGACAUCUAAGUCACUGAGCCCUAGAUCCCUGUAGGUAUCUUCACAUCUCCUAUCCCUCAGUUUUUCUACUUCAAGCUGUUAGCUGGGUACCCCCUCAGAUCACUUAGAGCCACUCUCAUCAGAGCCAUGCCAGCACAGCUACGGACCUGGGCCCUCCCAUGGGCUCAAGAACUGCAAAGGACAGUGUGUUUGAGUGCAACCAGGAGCUCAUGGCCAUGACUGGAAGCUGUGCAACACCGCCCCUCUCUGCCAGAUAGAGCUGGUGAUACUUGGCUUUUGUCCCUCCCACACUUUCCCACCUUUGAUUUGCUUAUGUAUUCCACAACAGAAACGAUUCCUUUAGUAAUCUUUGCUACCAUUAUUCCCAUAAUUAGCAUGUAUUUAUAUUCUGAGAACUGUAUAGCAUUAGUUACAGAAAAUCUCCAAGCCCAAACAGCUUUUUGCUGUGACAUCUCUAAGGUAACUGCUGUGCACAGUCACACUCACGGUAAUUAAGAUACAUUCAGACCUUCAGUUCUCAGAACGGUGUGUAUUAUCACAGAUGACUCCUAGAAAUUUAGUUCUCAUUUAAUACUUGUCCCCUGUUUGAAGCAUAGUCCUAGGAGCAGGUGGGGAAGCUCUGCAAGCAUAAGGAAGGCGGGCAUUUUUCACCAGCUCUCUCUGACUCCUGUAUAGCAAUUCGGUAUGUCAUGCUGAAUCUGUAACACCGGCUGGCAUACCCGCUAUGGUCUUACUGCAUUUCUGGAUCCACUCCCUAUAUAAAUCUCCUUUGUAAUUCACCCUUUCAGGGAAGAUCUCAGGAACUACUUCUGUCUUCAAGGCUUUUGCCCUCUCAGGGCAGCCCCAAAGGUACAGCCUCGCAGCGCGCACCUCGUGGCACCCAUGCACAGCAGCAGUGCAAGUUUUUACAGCUAGCAGCACACACUUUUGCCAGAGUUAUCCAGCUGGUCUGAAAACAUUUUCAUCUCUUUCAGUCUUUUAUCAAAUUGAGACAAAAAUUUCGUGUUGGGCACUUGUUUUAGGAGAAUAGGGAGAUUUGCAUGUUAAAGUAAAACUGAAAAACACAGCACACGUUGAAAGGGCUCAUAGAAGAUGUGUAAUGUUCCACACAUCCACGAGGCAGAGAUAUAAAACCUGUGAGCAGUAGCCUUCAAGGCAGAAAUUUGAUUGAUGGUUUUAUUGUCUGUGUGACUGAUCUUGUCUCAGGAAAAAUGCAUCCUCUCCAAGGCAGAAAAGGAGAACUAACACCACCUGCCCAAGGAUGUUGUGGAUACCCGUCCCUGGAUGCAGUCCAAGCCAGGCUGGACGUGGCUCUGGGAGGCCUGGUCUAGUGGCUGGUGACCCUGCACAUAGCUGAGGGGCUGAAACCAGAUGGCCAUUGUGGCCCUUUUCAACCCAGGCCAUUCUAUGAUUCAUUCUAUGAUUCUAUGAAAAUCCUGGCCUCACAGAAAGUCCUGCGUGCACUGAUUUUCACCUGGUCUGCUAUAACCAAGUGUACAGGCUUCGUUCCAGCAGGAGAUACUCAGCUUCUGCUCAUCAGUUAGUGCUGUUACACUAAAAAAAAACCCAAAAUAACAAACUUAAGCACACAUAGGUUAUAAAAUCGCAUGUUACGUAGCUUAUGAUUGCAUGCUUUCACCUAAUGAGUGCCACAGAGCAGUGCAUGACCUCAGAAAGAACUAAUACUGUCUUGUGUUUAAAAAAACACCCUUGCUUUUAAUAAGAAUUCCAGCUGAAGCUACUACUUCUGUUUUGAUACAAGCAUUUUCUGUAUACAAUUCUGAAAAACAUCUGGCACCAUGGAGCUGUGCUUUCAAGUUUCUGUUGCAGUUCCCAUUAGCUGUAAUGACACCUACUGCUAGGGACAGACCUGAUUAACUGCAGGCUCACACACUGCUAAGUACAGGCACAUGUAGAACCUAGUGAAGCAAACACCAUGGAUUUUUUUUUUUUGGCCCUUUGUUUUAAUAGGAUUGCCAGGAUGACCAGAAUCUGAAAACUCACAGCUCAUUACCAAGAACACAACGCUGAUCCAGACAGAGCCAGAAGACUUUAAAAUGACUUCAGGGAUGAGAUCUAACAGGCUGUGGUAGAAUGUGGAGAACAUUUUCCCUCUUCUUAUGCCUUUCACCGCUAUGGAACAUUUGCUACGUAUGUACUGAAUGUAAAACUAAGCAAGAAAUUUCCAGCCAGUUUUGCAUCUUGGAGAGGAGCAGCAUGUUUUAAGCUUCACACAGCACAAUCACUACUCACAGUCAUCUAAGAUGUUUCUGCUGCAGCUGUGAGCCUGCAUUUCCAGCAGAAGAAAGAGUUCAGGAUUCGCAAUGCAUGUCCGAGAGCCAUUGAACAUGGCCAGCAUGGCAACUAUCCUUACAGCAGUUUUAUCUUUUUUUAAGAGACCCUCUUUAAACAGUGAGAAGAGCAGAUUAAAACCAGCCACAUUAUCGCCUACUCUCCUGAGUUUUUCAGACACAGAGUAAUUUUUCUUCUUCUACCAGCUGCCUUUAUCUCUAUGAACACAAGACGAAUAACAUUCCUAACUGUUUAUCACAGGUAUUAACAAAUGGCCUUGUUUUGAAGCAUUCAUUGACCUCAAAAACCCUCAGCGUCCAGAUACGUGCCAUAUUUUUGGACAAGAGAAGCAAUGAAAUACCCAGUUCUGCUGCUGAAUGUAGUAUCAGUUUAUUUGCUCUAACCAUGGAUGUCUGGGCUUGCCUAGCUACACAUAUGACAACCUUAAAUUUAUAUUCCAUUCUACAGUAAUCAGAUGCUGUAUAAUUAAAAUACACACAAAUGACUCUAUGUAACCAGCUUGAAACCUCUGAAAUUAAGUUAACCUUCAGUUUUACAUCAUUCUCAUUUCCCGAAAUGUUUUGCAUGUAGAAGAAUGAUUUCCACAGUUGGUGUGGUUUUUCUCUUUUUUUUUUCUUUCUUUUUUUCCCCUUGCAUUAAGACUAUAGUUUGUAUUUCAGAAUGUCUUUAAUGGACUCAACUAACAUUCCCCGGCCAUGAUUUUCCAGGUACAAUCUGUGCCUUUUAGAUAGUCAGCAAAUUCACUUUCAGGACUGUUUAAACGCCAUGAAAUGAGACUGCUUAUGAGCAAGUGCUGAUACAAAAUCAAUGUCUGUGUCUUUUCAAUCCGGCCCCUGAUUUUCAUCACCACAGCUUUUUAUUUGCAUUAUAAAAUUGAUCUGCUGGAGAGCAUUGCGUGACAAUUAUUUGUAAAAGACAGGAAGAUUCCUGAGAGGGACAGAGGGCUGAACAAAAACAGUGCACUGCUAGUAAAAUUUGUUGCAUUCGAGCUAAAAUGCCCAGGAAAUAUGAACAGCUUGAAUGCAAGUCCACAGCAUUUUUGGAAUCAUUUCCCUGAAAAUUUCAUUCCUCUGAAAUGAACCAGAAACAAAACAAAUCAAGAACAGACAAACUUUUGAAUAGCAAAACUUUUUUUAAUUCAAAUUUUUCCCUAUAGAGACUUUAAAAGAGAUAAUUAUUUUGUAGGCAGUUAUUAAAAAUAAUGCCAGACACUGAAGUUAGAGGUAUUAGGGACAGGGUAACAAGAAUUGAAUGUAGACUUACUUUGCUGGUCACAGAUGUCUAUUUUAGCCCUUGGUUUUCUGUGAAUUAAGACACUGAUGUUACGCUGCCUAUCAGGGAAGGCAGUAGGUUGUAUAGUUAUCUCCUGAUUGGGGCAAAAUCACUACCCUGAAACCACACAACCUACUACCUCAUCCUGUUAGAGCAUCAGGCGGAUCUUCUGAAGCAAACUAACAUUUCACCUACCAUAAGUAAGAUUCCCUACACACUUUCUAGCCCACAUUUCUUACUUUCAAAAAGGGCAUCAUUACGUCCUGUCAGCCCUUCCUCAGAUUUCUUCCUGGAAGUCCAUCAGAAUUGGUGGGGUGACUCUACAGGCAGAACAACUGCAGUGGAAAGCACUCUCCUUCCCAAAUUUGCAUUAUGUAAUAAAACAUAUAUUAAGUCACAAUUCAAAAACUGAUUAAAAAAAAUCUCUUCACUUAGGGGUCAAGCAUUUACUGGUUCCAGGGCAGAAAAUGAGACAUCCUCUUUGUAUUACUAUCCAAGUCAUCACUUGUUAGUUUCCUCAAACAAAUUACGCUAGGUGGAUUUACAUAACUGCUGAAGAAGUGGCACUUGCCAUUGGUAUAACACGAAUGCCACAAAGCAAUGAAGAAAUGGAUCACCUUUUUCCAAAUGGCCACUCUUGAGAGCACACUGGCAGAUGGAGAAAGUUGAGCAUAAGCAUAGGUUGUACCUCUGGGCCCUCUCACACCCCGCUUUCUCUGAGAAGAUGAAAAAAAGGAAAUUGCUUUCCAAUCCAAACGAUAGAGGAAUUGAAACACUCUGAGAACAUUUCUUUCGUAAGAAUCAAAACCAACACGUAAGACAGAGCCAGAGAAUGUUACAGUUGAAAUAUAUUUGCUUUGCAUUUUGAAGGCAUAUCCAGCGAUGAUAUCACAGCCACUUCAGGAAAGACAGUAGAUUGUAUAGUUAUCUGACAGGCAGGGCAUAACCCUAAAACUAUACAACCUACUACCUCACCCCAAAGGACAGUCAGACUCCGAUCACAGAAACCACAAACUAUAUUCCCAGAAAGCUGGAUGGCUUGGUGAUGACCUAGAAGACAAAAAACUCUGGAGACAAAUAUUAUCAGUCUUCAUUCUGAAAGAGUUUGCUAUACACCAGUUGACAUUUUGCUUAAUGAGCUCUAGUUUCACGUUUUAAAAGUUUCACAGAUUUGCAGUGUGUGGAGUCAUGUCAGUGACAAGAUACACAAGAGGGAAGAGGAUAGAGAAUUCAUUUUUAAUAAAUGCACUUUUGUACUUCCAGCUCUGACACGACUGCAUCUUAACAAACCAGUUUUGUCACUUCAAGAAAGGCAUCACAGUGACUUAGAGAAUAAAUGCUGAAUUAGAGGGAUUUGUUCUGCAUUGCCUUCUAGGUAUUCCUCUCUUAUCCUAGUGUGGAACAGCUCAGUUGCUCUUACUGACUUUCCCAAGUUCUGCAUGGGUAAAUCUAUAAGACUGAACCAAGAAUUUGGUGACUGUCAGAAAGUGUUACGGCUUACUUAAGCAACAUGCUACUUCUAAAGGACAGUACCUCACAACUGAAUCAAUGGCUAAACUAAAUGUACUCUACUGUACUACACAGACGUUGGUUAAUAUGACUAGCAAAAUUGCCACUAGUGUACUGUAACCUCACACCAACACUAGAGGUUGAGGGUGCUCUCACUCCCCACCACCUGGUCUGAUGGACUGCAACACAUCGCACUCAGGGAAAAUCCAAAUAAGUGACAAAAACUAUGAUAUCAGUCCAUACCUGUAAUAUAAAUAAAUAAAAUUUCAAACAAAUACUCCAACUUAAUAAGCUAACUUAGAAUCAUUGAAUCUAGGUUGAAAAGGACCUCAAAGACCAUCUAGUUUCACCCCCCCCUGCUAUAUGCAGGGUCGCCAGCCACCAGACCAGGCUGCCCAGAGCCACAUCCAGCCCGGGCUUGAAUGCUUCCAGGGAUGGGGCAUCCACAACCUCCUUGAGCAACCUGUUCCAGUGCAUCACCACCCUCUGUGUGAAACACUUCCUCCUAAUAUCCAACCUAAACCUCCCCUGUCUCAGUUUAAGACCAUUCCCCCUUGUCCUAUCACUAUCUAUUCCUGUAAACAGGGGUACUCCCUUCGAGUAUUGGAAGGCCACUAUGAGGUCUCCCCGGAGCCUUUUCUUCACUAAGGAAAACUUUUUUUUUGUUGUUAACUGCAAAUUAAAGACAAGAAUCCAUGAUACACACAGAAAAACUAAAGCCAUGCUUGACAACAAAACAGAUCUCACCUCAAAGUAGGUAGGUCACAUUUCAGAGCAACCGAUGGGAUCUUCCACUGCUCAUAGCAUAAUCACUAUGGGGAUGCCAAAAGAGAAAACACGCAUGUUUCAACUUCAUUUUAGUGCACACUGAAACAGUUGUAAGGUGAGUGACAGCAAGUGAAAAAGCAGACAGAAGCUUCUCCGUACAUUUUCUCAGAGGGCCAUUCACAGCACCAGCUUUCUCUUUCCGUUGUUAUUAUCCCAUCAUACCUCAGCCCAGGGGGUACCCCUAACCUGAAAAAAAGACAGGCAAGAGACAAAGAACUGUGAAAAACAGAAAACAUUGUGGGUUUUUUUAGGUUUUUUUUUAGAUUGACUUAUUGAGGUAUUUGCUUCUUCACUUUCUGGGAAAAACACACUUUUAAAGGAACUAGAGAAGGAAGGAGAAUGCAAAUGACUAACCAAAUUAAAUAGCAAUGUGUUAAUCUAUAACAAGCAAUGUUACACUGUUAGCUUCAAACUAACUACACUGGACUGAGGCCACCUGUAGGAAGAGGUUACAGAUUGCUGCGAGCUGCACAGGGGACAUACCUGUGACACCAAACUGCAACAGUGCAACUGUCCCCUCUGAGACGACCAUAAUGGAGAAAACAUUGUACAACCCUGGUUUCACAACUUGCAACACCAAUGGCACUGAAGGUCAAAGUAGACAUUCUUCGUAUACUAUACAAAAAGAGUAGCAAAAGAGAUUUCCUCUUUAACUAGUAACUACUAGAUUACCUCUUUAACUAGUAACUACUGGUAGCAGAAGCUGCUUUCUAAGGACUGUCAAAGGAAGCCAUUUGGAAAGUUCUGCAGCAGAAAGCUCCACAGUCUUCUCCAUAUACUUAAGGGUUUAAAAAAAAAAUCAGCAUUUUCUGAGUGUGAGCUUCUUUUUUGGCAAAGCCAGUUACUUUCUGAAUAAUCCUCUGGAAAACAAACAAACAAACAAGCAAACAAACACAGAACUAUUCUGUCCCUGGUUUUUUAGAUAAAAUGUUUAAAACUAAACAUCUUUAUGUGUGUGGUCAGAGAUCUGAGUGUUAGGAGUUCACAAUUUGUACUGGAGCCUUGGCUAAAAUUCAGUGUGGAAGCUGGUGAAUCUUGGUACUGCCAGGUGAGUGAGUACCCGUGGCCUGUGCAGUCACCUCACAGAAAGGGCUUCCGCUUUAAAACAAACCCUAUCCUUAUAUAAAUAGAAAUCAGCAUUAUAUAACAUAAUUGGAGGAAAGCUGCGUAUUGUGUGUUUUACUUCAAAGUGAGACUUCUGAAUAAGCAUUUCCUUUAGGGUGAAAGAAGGAAAAAAAGUAACCCUUCAGCGGAGCUGCUCUUUAUGCUGGAUAGUCCGGUGAAAACAGUUCAAAGCCAUUAAAAUGAUAUAUUCACAGCAGUGAAAAGCCCAAGCUCCUCAGCAGACCCAAAUCACUGGAAAUGUCAGAUGAAGAUCCUAAACUUGAAGCGACUCCAGUGACUCCAAUGGCAGAAGUGAAAAUACAGAAUCAAACAGUGGCAAAAUUUGGGAAAGCUAAGCAUGUUGCAGUGAUGUACAUCGCUGCCUACCUGUAGCAUACCUCGGCUUUACUUUCACUCACGGGUGCAGUUCUCGUUGGGAGAAUGGAAAAAUGUUCACCCUUUUGAUGUAAAAUGGUGCAUUUUUAAGAAACAUUUCAAAAGGAUUCACUUAUUUUCUACUAAAUACAGCUAAGCUUUUGAUAAUGUUAAAGAUCUAUUUCCAUACGUGAAGUUCUGGUAUAAUAUUGCCUUAAUAUACAAUCUGCCACAUAAAAAGUAGCAAUUUAGUUCAUGAACGUUGAGAUGGUUAUUUAUAAAGUGCUAUAAGCUUUCUGUUGUUCUGUUUUAUAUAAGAUCUGUUAUUGUGGGUAUGAAUAGUUUAAAGUAUUCAUUAGCAAACAAAAAUGGAAAAGAAUGUGCUUUAUUCAACACUUAAAAUUAAUUAUUCUUCUGCUCUCACAAGCCGCUCAUAAACUCACUUCAACUGAUUAGGUCACAAAACAAGGAUGAACUUUAAAAUACUUAAUGAAAGAAAAGUGCAUGUUCAUUUUCUAUGAAGAAGACAUGCAUACAAAAUAACUGUCUGGCAAGAGUUAUGUUUCUAGUUCAGCAACUGUUUAAUACUAAGAAAAAUAUGACAUUUCCAUAUUCUAACCCUCAGUGUUCAGUGAAAAAUGGAUUGGAACAGAUGUUAAUAAAUACCUCAGCAGUCGCUAUUAAAAAGGUGCAGAGCCAACUCUGCUAUUUCUAUGACAGUUUUAAAGUUGAAUUGUUAUAUAAUUAAAAGCCUUAAUAAUUAGCAAACCCUGGGACAACACAGAACGAGCACUCCGCGAUUUUUGGAGCACCUUCCACCCAAGAACUGGGAAUGAUUUGCAAAUGCAAAACCUACCUGUGCUCCCAGGAGGAAGGCAAAUGCCCUAGGUGCACAUGUGAGCAAGUGCACACUGACCGCAGUGGGGAAAUGUGCGGCUCAAGGCAAACCCCAAGGGACCCUGCAAGGCUGAGGGGCUGCGUGCAGGUCACAUCAGUGGCUUCCAGCUUGUUUCUACAUAAUGAUUAUUUUCUGGCUUCCAAAGUGGUGUCCAGUCACCACUGUGCCCCCGCUGUUUAUUCACUAUUAUAAAUGUCACAAACUUUUGCUGGUGAGAGUGGUUGCAAAGUAAAUCGCGGAGGCUCUGCUACAGCGGAUGCUGAGACCAAGGGAAGCUUUCUGACUGAAUCCAACAGACUCUGAGCAGAAAAUGAAGCUGCUGCAUCGCCCUGUCAAACCAGACAGAGCAUUACCACGUAAGGUAACUGUUUCAGACAGAAGCUAGUUGGAGGAGAGAAGGAUCAUCUCCUGGAACCUACAUAUAAUAAAGUUCACAUACAAUAUUUCCAGGUGUAUUUUUAAGUAAAUAUAACAAAAAUAAACACACUGCAUUCAUAUUGAUUACAUCCUUCAAGAAAUGAAAAAUAUUUUACAAACAGAUUUUGCAACUCCUGUGAAAUAUGAUGUAUAUAGAGACUUAAUCCAUUACUGAAACACAGCUGCUUCUAAGAUUGGCAGCAACAGUUCUUUCAUAAAUUGUAAAACAUUACCAUAAUUAAAUAAAUUAGGACAGAUUCUGCUGCAGCUUCAGAGGGGCACAAUAGGAAAUAUUCACGGCACCAAGUCUACUGCACUCAGUUGUUUGUCUAAAUUUCACAUUAGAACACAACUUAGAAGCAACUGACUGUAGUGAGCCCUAAUCCUAUUAAAACCAGUCACAUUAUUUUGUCCGACCUUUUAACUUAUUAUUGCACAGAACAUUAUAGGUACUGUAACAUAGUGCUGCUAUCUAUUAAAUAAUUUCACGUAGUCACUGAAACCAUUUUCUUUAUCAAACUGUUCAGAAAAAUUUGGCAGAAAGUAGCAGUUACACCAGAACUCUGUGGAAUACGUGUCUCCGAGCUCUGUAAUAAUUUAUGGAUGUUCCUAAAAUCUUGAACAUUCUAUAUAUGGGGAAAAAAAUGGCAACAGCAUGUAAAAACAUACAUCAGUGUAAAUAAUCACAUCUGACACACUGCAGCCUUACAACUGCACACCUGUAUAAAGGCUUCCUUACUCUUAUGUGGACUCACGCUACCUUCAGUUAAAUUCCUCCACAAAAAUGAAAGCUUAUAUAACAUUUCAUAAAAGGUUUACAAUGCCACAUAAAAAUGGAACAUGCUUAAUAACUGCUGCCUUAAUCUACUGAAUGGGUGUAUAAGAAUCUGCUAGAAUUAAAGACAAGGAGCUGGGGCUGUGUGUACAACAAAGGGGUUCUGCACCUUCACAGACACGUUCCACACAUGUACAUCAGGCAUUUCUUAGCCUGACUGAUGUGAAAAGUCUUGAAUGUUAAACAGAUGCUUCCAAAGGGCUGUAGUGGGAAAAAUAUCAUUUUCUAUCAAAGCAGCACCUUAUUUUUCUUCAGUGUCGGAUCAUGCCUUCUGUUUAUGCAAACUGUAGCACUUACACGGACAUUUUACUCUUCUACUACAUUUAUUUCCGAGUUCUGCUUAUGUAAUACUCCAAAUGCUAAAAAAAAAAAAAAAGCUACCCAGAAUGAUAAAAACACUCAGCAUCUCCCAAAGCUUCCAUAAAAAGAGAAGUUAAACCAGGGCUAACUACUGGCUACUUUGUGUGUUGCACUUGUAUUCUUCAGCAAAUCAGUAUUUAGGGAGACACUUGGCUUUCAAAUUUUAAAUAAACUCCAUAAGGAAGCAGAACUGUAGUGUAUUAGGAGCUAUUUGUUUGUACAACUUAAAUAUUUGCCCUUGAUGUUUUCCUAGCAUAAUUCUUCUGUCUGCUCACUUACCAGCUGAUUUGCUGUGCUGGCCCUGGUGGGCUUUCUGUCCAGCCUAAGAUGGCUGCCAGGCUUGACACGGACAGCUGUGGGAGCAGCAGCAGCAUCUCACCCUGGGCUGUGCGUCCUAGCUCUCAAGGGCAGAAAUGAAGUUUGGCAGAUCCCAAUGGGAAAAAUGGGGUGAAGCCAGCAUCCACGGGAGACAAAAC
rnacentral:lncRNA from 1 species